UUAAAUUGAAGAGUUUGAUCAUGGCUCAGAUUGAACGCUGGCGGCAGGCCUAACACAUGCAAGUCGAACGGUAACAGAAAGAAGCUUGCU
rnacentral:rRNA from 2 species